GACUCCGUGGCCAAGCUGGUUAAGGCGCAAGACUGUUAAUCUUGAGAUCGUGAGUUCGAUCCUCACCGGGGUCG
rfam:Candida auris strain 6684 Scaffold40, whole genome shotgun sequence.